CAAGCUCUCACAUUUGGUUUUUAGAUUUUACCCCUCAUGUCCGCUUUAUAAUUUUAUAUAUAAAAAAAUAAAUUAGGCCAUUUUUGGCUGAAACUAUUCCAUUUUCAUUUCACACGGAGGCUUUACAUAUAGCAAAAUUUAGUGCAGUUACUAAUCGGUCAGCCUUAUAUGGAGGAAUUGAAAAAUCCUCCCCCCUUACAACAAUGGAGGUCUAAUCACCUUCUGACUUUAGGUGUAAAUUCCAGUAGGAUGUUCUGAUGCCCCAUUGCUGGAUAUGAUAUUUGAGAAUUAAGACACAACUCCAUUGCGCAAAUCCCUAUUGUCACGAUGGUAAUGAAUUGGCCAAAUGAAACCACCUGCGGAGCUUUCGGUUGGCAACACUAUUAACCAAUCACACAAUCUUUGGCGCGCAAAGGUAGUGAUGAGAGAUCACCGAGCAGAUAGCACGCAAAUCCCUUCAAGGAUAAAAACCAGCAAAAACGAGCCAGGUCUCACUUUAACUGCCAAAAAUGAUCCAGCUUUCACUUCUUAGUUGUGCAUCGUCGAAUUUGUUGGCUCCUCCUAGAUGUGUUCACAUAUAAAAGAUCCUCAUGCAAACUAUAUACAUCUCAGAGAUUUCUUUCAUGAGGUUCAAGCCAAAGGAACCCCAGGAAAUCAAAAACUUCUUUUUCAGUGUCAAACCUUAGGCUUGCGCUAGCCCUUACACCCCUUUUGCCACCUGAAGCCUGAGUGGCUGGAAAUAGUCCUGUAUCAUCAAGCCGGUAUCCUUUGGAUUCUGCUAACAAUCUCAGCCUCCGGUUUAAUACAUCAUUACCAGUCCAUGCUAUUAAACCAAAUGCAUAUAUAUCCCUCGGAUAUACCUUGAAAUCUAUGCGGUGUCUCAGUUCUCUUCCAGGAUAUGUACAAAGACCAAAAUAUGUGUCAACACCUGAAUCAGUGCCCUGUCAUGUUUGGCAAAUGGAAAGAGGUUAGGCAAAAAUUUAAGAACCCAUGGCAUGGAAUCCAUACAGAGCAUGUGAUACAGGAAUUGAUCCAGAGGAAACAGAUGGAAGGCUCAGGAAGAUAUGUGUAGCAAUGAAUUCAGAGAAUUCUUCCCAACUGGUUAAUAAGGAACCGAAGAAAAAAGCUACGCCAGGAAAUAUGACAUGUGAAUUCUUAAUUUCAGAUCCCAAAACAAAAUUAACAGUAAAUGGUAUCUCAUGCAAUUACUUUUCAGUAACUUUUCCUUGUUAAGUUCUCUUAGCAAGUAGAUUACUGUUUUAUGAUGUAUCCUAAUGUAGACGAAUGAGAAUGGUAGUGCAGUGAACUAAUUUGAAACUUGCAUGAUUCGAAUUCUCAGCAACUGCCUCUAAAUGGGAUUGAAAGGCCUCAAGUCAAGAUUUCAUCAGUUGGUAACUUCAAUUGUACCGUAGCAGCAACAUUAGCAUACACAUUAGAGUUCUAGGAAAGAUCACACAAAUAUUUCACAUAAUAAUGGUCUUAAGGAUUAAUUUGUAAAAUUCCCACUAUGCAUUUAAUUAUGACCUCAGUGCAUCCCUCAAGUUAGCCCGCAUGAUGGACUUCAAUGUACUUAAGGAACCAACUGGCAAGCUUUAAUAAGUGCAACAGAUUGCUAGUUUUAGCUGAUAUUGACCUUCAAGGCAAGGGUAUAGAUACCCUUAUCUCAACUUACUGAAAGCAAACUACAUAAAUGGAUUAGAAUAUUUAAAAUUCGUGAAUAUAGUCACAUUAAGAAAACAAGAGGACUUCUUCAACAUAGCAAUAUGCUAAAGCUUUACAAUUAUUAUCAGCUCAGGUACUCGUUCCUUGCAUUACUAGUCCUGGCAUAUGAUGCCAGGACACUAGCACUUUAAAAAUUCAAAAACAUAUAAAAGAAAAGCGCAGCAAUAGCAAUAAAAGAUACCUCCUCGCUGUGAAUGCUAAAUACGAAAUCCUCUCUUAAGAACUCCAUAUUCUUCAAAUGCUUCACGAAUCUUGGUAAAAAAACCCUUAUGACUUUUCCCAUCAGGGUGAGUAAUUACCACAUCCAAAUCCCCACAAGAUGCUUUUCCUCGUCUAUAAGAUCCUCCACAUAUGAUAACCACCUUCAAAAUAGAUAUAAGAAAAUCAAAUUAGGAAUUAUACCUACAUGAAUGUCAAAGUCGUGCCCUUAACUCUUAAACCUACAGGUAUGGUUCUCAAAGGAACAAUUUCACCUGCACCCAAACAGACAUUAAUGGGGUCUGCUGGAAACAUUCCGAACAUAUCUUUAUAAAAAUUUACAAUUAUCAAUCUGGAUCUCAAUCCUUUCAUACAACAUGUCUGUCCAUAUUUUAUGGCAAUCAACAAUUAUUCACUCACAUUACAGAUUGAUUUCACUUGGAAAAUCAGUUUGUAAAUUACAAAUUGCCAGCAUUCACAUUUCCAAAAAUAUGUAAAGUUUUAUGGUAGUGAUGAUCCAACUAACAAUCAAAAUAUGAGUAAUCCACAAAUGGUCCAAAAACAAUCCUAAAGGCAUGCCUAAGUAAAGGGAAAAAGGGCCUCAACAGCAGCUUCUUGAAUCACAUUGUGUUUGAAGUAAAUAUUUGUAUGGCAUGACUAAAAAGGUAACAAUAGAGGCCAAAGAUACUCCAGAAAAAAAAUGGCAACUCUAUAUGAAACAUCAUUUUCCUGAAUUUACUUGCCCCAAGACAUGCAUAAAGGCCCAGGCAUCUAUUUAUUGUAAGCAUUGGUACCAUAUUUUGCACCCUAAAGAUGAGAGAGCUAGAAGAUGGACAUUAUGCUAAUUCAACAAAAUUUGCACCCAUGCAUCCAAUUCUGGGCAUCACAGGUUCAAUAAAGGAAACAACAAACUCAAGCAAUCUGUAUAAUAUCCACAAACCUUAUUAAAGUUUAGAUUAACUUUUGGUAUUGCUUUUAUUUUUUUUCUGCGCAAUGGAGCAUCCAGAGCUCUUUGAGCAGCUAAGAAGUUCCCUCCCUAAUGACCAAGGAAUUCAAGAAAAUUCACAUUCAAAUACUCAACAGACUUAGGAUUAUGUUUCAGUUUUAAUUUAGAACUUAUUGUGGAAAUUAUUGAGUACUUUUUAAUACUUUUAGAGUUUUACUUAUGUGUCUUUUUUAAUAUAUCAGCUACCGGUUCUUUAUUUAAGUCACAUGGAUAUUUUUGUAAUUUCUGAAUUGCGGGAGCAUUAUCUAGAUUUCUGUAGGAGUCUUUAUUAAGAGAGUUCUUUUUGGAGUCCAAUUCCUUAUUAAGGAUUAUUUUUUGAGUCUAUACAUAACUAAGUUAGCAAUGUUGUUUCUCAGUUCAUGAUCAAUAAGAAUUUUAGAAACUAUGCUUCUCUGAGUUGUGUGACACAAUUCAAACCCAGGUGUGAUGCCUAAGAAAGGAUUACUUCUUGUUUAAUAGUGUUUAUAAAUCCCAUCUUCACAAACCCUAACUGUCCCAACUAAAUUCCAACUCAUUCUAGCAUUAAAAUAAGCCCCAAAUCCAACUUUAAUUCUCAGACCUGCAGGCUGUCUUGCAUCACACCCUGGCUUUCUUAUCCCUCGCACUGUUGAAAAUUACAAAGAGAAUAUCACUGUGGAUGGCCACCAAAUGUGUUAGUGAGUGACUCAAACCAUAUCUAAUGUUACCUCUGGUACUUGAAUCCAAGACAACUUAUCACUCAACUAACCCCUUGUAGUCUUCUGAUUUUUCUUUUAUAAACCAGUUCAGCUCAGAAGUUAUAGUGUCUCACCCCAGGCAAUAUCUCUUCCCCAGUUUUCUGCAUGAGUUGUUCCAUUUCUUGAACCUCAUUGCGUGGAACCCUCGUCUUAAUAUCAUCAAAAUAUUUCAAUCCUAACUUCUGUGCGUGCGUUAAUGAAUCUUCAUUCUCAAGAUCAUCUAGUGUGCGAUAUCCUUUCUCAUACAAUUUAAAGGCAGUGGCUGGACCUAUACCCCAAACUUCACCAAAUAGACUAAUUGUCCGUACCUUUUCAUCUGUUUCAAAAUGCUCCAACUUGGACAAUUUGCCAGUAGUCACUAUCUCCUGUAU
rnacentral:misc_RNA from 1 species